rnacentral:rRNA from 1 species
UACGUACCGUACGAACGUUAUUCGGAAUUACUGGGCUUAAAGGGUUUGUAGGCGGCCUUGUAAGUCAGGUGUGAAAUCCCUCGGCUCAACCGAGGAAUAGCGCUUGAUACUGCAAGGCUUGAGGGAGACAGGGGUAAGCGGAACUGAUGGUGGAGCGGUGAAAUGCGUUGAUAUCAUCAGGAACACCGGUGGCGAAAGCGGCUUACUGGGUCUCUUCUGACGCUGAGGAACGAAAGCUAGGGGAGCGAACGGG